rnacentral:rRNA from 1 species
UACGAAGGGGGCUAGCGUUGCUCGGAAUCACUGGGCGUAAAGGGUGCGUAGGCGGGUCUUUUAAGUCAGGGGUGAAAUCCUGGAGCUCAACUCCAGAACUGCCUUUGAUACUGAAGAUCUUGAGUUCGGGAGAGGUGAGUGGAACUGCGAGUGUAGAGGUGAAAUUCGUAGAUAUUCGCAAGAACACCAGUGGCGAAAGGCGGCUCACUGGCCCGAUACUGACGCU